CCCGCCCCUAGAGGCAUUGCAGCUAUGGCUGCUGUGUCACAUUGUGUCAGUAGGUGGCAGAGACGAGACGGGCUAAAACAACCACCAGUCUGGUGUCAGGGGGCCAGGACAGGGAGCUAGCCUGAGGCAAC